GUGUAGGUCUUGUGGUUCUUAGACUCAGUUUGAAUUCAACUUAUUCUCAUCCUUGGGGACCAAGGACCAAGUUUCACUAAAAGUACUUAAGAGCACAGUAUGGAGCAAGACCUCAUUUGCUAAAGGUUCUUCAAUUUCCAUCCUUACGAAGACUGCAUUUUUGGACCCAUUAUGAAAGAGCCAUUGAAAAGGUCAGAAGACCUCAGUUCAGAAGAAAAGAAUAAAG
rnacentral:lncRNA from 1 species